AACGAACGCUGGCGGCAGGCUUAACACAUGCAAGUCGAGCGCGUAGCAAUACGAGCGGCAGACGGGUGAGUAACGCGUGGGAAUCUACCCAACCCUACGGAAUAACGCAUGGAAACGUGUGCUAAUACCGUAUACGCCCUUCGGGGAAAGAUUUAUCGGGGAUGGAUGAGCCCGCGUUGGAUUAGCUAGUUGGUGGGGUAAAGGCCUACCAAGGCGACGAUCCAUAGCUGGUCUGAGAGGAUGAUCAGCCACAUUGGGACUGAGACACCGGCCCAAACUCCUACGGGAGGCAGCAGUGGGGGAAUAUUGGGACAAUGGGCGCAAGCCUGAUCCAGCCAUGCCGCGUGAUGAUGAAGGCCUUUAGGGGUUGUAAAAGCUCUUUCACCGGUGAAGAUAAUGACGGUAACCGGAGAAGGAAAGCCCCCGGCUAACUUCGUGCCAGCAGCCGC
rnacentral:rRNA from 1 species